CUUUUUGACAGUAGACUACUGUAAUGCUUUAUUUUCUGGUUUACCGCCGUCCAGUAUUAGGGGUCUCCAACUGGUUCAAAAUGCUGCUGCCAGACUUUUGACACAAAGCAGAAAAUUCGACCACAUUAUGCCCAUUUGUCGUCCCUACACUGACUUCCUGUCGCUGCAAGAUCGGAUUUUAAGGUUCUGUUAUUGGCUUAUAAGAUGUUCAUGGACUUGC